rnacentral:rRNA from 1 species
CAGGCCUAACACAUGCAAGUCGAGCGGCAGCGCGAGUAGUUUACUACUUGGCGGCGAGCGGCGGACGGCUGAGUAACGCGUGGGAACAUACCCCAAAGUGAGGAAUAACCGCCCGAAAGGGUGGCUAAUGCCGCAUAUGAUCUUCGGAUUAAAGGAUUUAUCCGCUUUGGGAAUGGCCUGCGUACGAUUAGGUAGUUGGUGAGGUAAUGGCUCACCAAGUCGACGAUCGUUAGCUGGUCUGAGAGGAUGACCAGCCAGACUGGAACUGAGACACGGUCCAGACUCCUACGGGAGGCAGCAGUGAGGAAUCCUCCACAAUGGGCGAAAGCCUGAUGGAGCAACGCCGCGUGCAGGAUGAAGGCCUUCGGGUCGUAAAGCUCUUUUAGCAAGGAAGAUAAUGACGUUACUUGCAGAAAAAGCCCCGGCUAACUCCGUGCCAGCAGCCGCGGUAAU